AUUGAACGCUGGCGGCAGGCCUAACACAUGCAAGUCGAGCGGCUGCAGGGAGCUUGCUCCUGGAUUCAGCGGCGGACGGGUGAGUAAUGCCUAGGAAUCUGCCUGGUAGUGGGGGAUAACGUCCGGAAACGGGCGCUAAUACCGCAUACGUCCUGAGGGAGAAAGUGGGGGAUCUUCGGACCUCACGCUAUCAGAUGAGCCUAGGUCGGAUUAGCUAGUUGGUGGGGUAAAGGCCUACCAAGGCGACGAUCCGUAACUGGUCUGAGAGGAUGAUCAGUCACACUGGAACUGAGACACGGUCCAGACUCCUACGGGAGGCAGCAGUGGGGAAUAUUGGACAAUGGGCGAAAGCCUGAUCCAGCCAUGCCGCGUGUGUGAAGAAGGUCUUCGGAUUGUAAAGCACUUUAAGUUGGGAGGAAGGGCAGUAAGUUAAUACCUUGCUGUUUUGACGUUACCAAAAGAAUAAGCACCGGCUAACUUCGUG
rnacentral:rRNA from 1 species